rnacentral:rRNA from 1 species
UGGGGAAUUUUGGACAAUGGGCGAAAGCCUGAUCCAGCAAUGCCGCGUGUGUGAAGAAGGCCUUCGGGUUGUAAAGCACUUUUGUCCGGAAAGAAAUCCUUGGCUCUAAUACAGUCGGGGGAUGACGGUACCAGAAGAAUAAGCACCGGCUAACUACGUGCCAGCAGCCGCGGUAAUACGUAGGGUGCAAGCGUUAAUCGGAAUUACUGGGCGUAAAGCGUGCGCAGGCGGUUUGCUAAGACCGAUGUGAAAUCCCCGGGCUCAACCUGGGAACUGCAUUGGUGACUGGCAGGCUAGAGUAUGGCAGAGGGAGGUAGAAUUCCACGUGUAGCAGUGAAAUGCGUAGAGAUGUGGAGGAAUACCGAUGGCGAAGGCAGCCCCUGGGCCAAUACUGACGCUCAUGCACGAAAGCGUGGGGAGCAAACAGGAUUAGAUACCCUGGUAGUCCACGCCCUAAACGAUGUCAACUAGUUGUUGGGGAUUCAUUUCCUUAGUAACGUAGCUAACGC